rnacentral:rRNA from 1 species
GACGAACGCUGGCGGCGGGCUUAACACAUGCAAGUCGAACGGAAAGGCCCUGCUUUUGUGGGGUGCUCGAGUGGCGAACGGGUGAGUUACACGUGAGUAACCUGCCCUUGACUUUGGGAUAACUUCAGGUAACUGGGGCUAAUACCUGAUAGGUGCUCCUGCUGCAUGGUGGGGGUUGGAAAGUUUCGGCGGUUGGGGAUGGACUCCCGGCUUAUCAGCUUGUUGGUGGGGUAGUGGCUUACCAAGGCUUUGACGGGUAGUCGGCCUGAGAGUGUGACCGGCCACAUUAGGACUGAGAUACGGCCCAGACUCCUACGGGAGGCAGCAGUGGGGAAUAUUGCACAAUGGGCGCAAGCCUGAUGAAGCAACGCCGCGUGCGGGAUGACGGCCUUCGGGUUGUAAACCGCUUUCGCCUGUGACGAAGCGUGAGUGACGGUAAUGGGUAAAGAAGCACCGGCUAACUACGUG